ACCGGCAGCUCAAGUGGUGGCAAUUAUUAUUGGGCCUAAAGCGUUCGUAGCCGGUUUGAUAAGUGUCUGGUGAAAUCCCGCCGCUUAACUGUGGGGAUUGCUGGAGAUACUAUCAGACAUGAGGACGGGAUAGGUUAGAGGUACUCCCAGGGUAGUUGUGAAAACCAAUAAUCCUGGGCGGACCACCUGUGGCGAAGGCGCCUAACCGGAAAGAACCUGACGUUAAGCAACUAUAGCCAUUGCCGCGAACCA
rnacentral:rRNA from 1 species